rnacentral:rRNA from 2 species
GAUGAACGCUGGCGGCGUGCUUAACACAUGCAAGUCGAACGUGAGAGGGUAGCAAUAUCCUUGAAAGUGGCGCACGGGUGAGUAAUACGUAGGUGACCUGCCCUGGAGUGGGGGAUAACAGUUGGAAACGGCUGCUAAUACCGCAUAAGACUAGACAGAUGGGAAUCUGACUGGUAAAAAUUCUGGUGCUUCAGGAGGGGCCUGCGUCCGAUUAGCUAGUUGGCGGGGUAAGAGCCCACCAAGGCAUUGAUCGGUAGCUGGUCUGAGAGGACGAUCAGCCACACGGGAACUGAGACACGGUCCCGACUCCUACGGGGGGCAGCAGUGAGGAAUAUUGGGCAAUGGGCGGAAGCCUGACCCAGCAACGCCGCGUGGAGGAAGACGGCCUUCGGGUUGUAAACUCCUUUUACGGGGGAAGAGAGAGGACGGUACCCCGAGAAUAAGUCACGGCUAACUACGUG